AUGGCUGCCAGACCACACCAUGAAGAACUCUGUAAAUGGAUUCAUCAAAGCAGGCAAAACGAGCCUCUUGACAGAAGUCAACCCGUUUCUUCUGACUCCCACUUUGUCACCCACAUCCUUCCCGGGAAUCUUCUUGCCCACUCUAAUCUCUCCAGUCCCAGCUCUUACAACGCCGUUCCUCACAUCCCCCGAUGGUCCUCCACCACCUCUUUUGGUAAGUACAUCCACUGUCCUCCAACCACGGACUUCAUGCUAAAUUCCUCUCCACUCUCCUCAGGCACAAACAGCCCAGAAGUGCUCUCAGAUCCAAGCGUUGCUCAGGGAGGGCGGUCGAGUGAGCAUAAGGACUGUUCACCCUCCUGAGGGUAUGAUGUGAUGUCUGAGCAGCCACUUCAAAAACAUUAGGGCCUGUUCCAGGGAUGCCACCCAGACAGGACACUGCUCAAAGCUGCCCCCUGUCCUGGGAACAGAGGCCAAAAGCUCUUGACAAGGACACUUAGCCCUACUGGUAUUGAUGGUGUCACAUGGGUUAGCCCCGAAUGAGGAGGGGUCUGAGUUUUGUUUUGGUUUCCUCUGGUCCAAUCCUGAUGAAACUUUGACUACAUGCUCUGUCCCUUCUACCCUGGGCUGACGGUGGUUAGCAACAGUCUAAGGAAGCCUGAGAGAAGCCCCUCAGAGGAGCCACUUUUGGGCCACCUCCCACCUUAGUGUCACCUCCCGCCUUAGUGUCAUUACCAAUGGGGUACAUUUGCUACCACCUCCUGGCGAAACUGCUCUGGCACACAUUAGCCACUUCUGUUCUCCAGGCCCAGCGGACUCUGAGCUCCCUGGGGCUGUGCCCAGAAUGCACUUGAUAGAAAGCUGAUUCUUUUCCAGUGGGGCAAACAUCUCUGGUCAGGACAUGUCUGUCAGGAGGUGGCCUGCAGAGCUACCACGCCAACUCUCGGAUGUAUGUGUCUUUUUUUUUUCUUUCUGAUUUCCCAGGCAGGAAAACAUGCCUUCCCCUCUGCACAGCCCCAGCUCACCCUACCAACAUUUGCAUUCCCUGGGUAUGAAAGGAGUCAGUAGCUGGCCCCAUGGAGGACAAGGCUGUAAUUCAGCCAGGCCCCAGUGACAUCCCAACCGUGAGAGUGCAGCUGGGGCAGCUUAUGAGCAGCCCUGGAAUCCCAGGGGGAAGCCGGCCCUGUUCUCUAGCCCACAAGCGCCUGUUGUUCACUUUCUUGUUUUUCUCCAAAUGUUUAGAUGUGCUCAGAGCACAGAGAAGCCUGAAACCAAGACCAUGGGCCAGAGCAAGCCUGAAGCAGGGAAGCCCAGGGCUGGAAUUCUGGGGUCCUAAACUCCCUCCUCAGUUAUCCCCACAUCC
rnacentral:lncRNA from 1 species